rnacentral:rRNA from 1 species
CUGUCGUCAGCUCGUGUCGUGAGAUGUUGGGUUAAGUCCCGUAACGAGCGCAACCCUUGUCCUUAGUUACCAGCACGUUAAGGUGGGCACUCUAAGGAGACUGCCGGUGACAAACCGGAGGAAGGUGGGGAUGACGUCAAGUCAUCAUGGCCCUUACGGCCUGGGCUACACACGUGCUACAAUGGUCGGUACAAAGGGUUGCCAAGCCGCGAGGUGGAGCUAAUCCCAUAAAACCGAUCGUAGUCCGGAUCGCAGUCUGCAACUCGACUGCGUGAAGUCGGAAUCGCUAGUAAUCGUGAAUCAGAAUGUCACGGUGAAUACGUUCCCGGGCCUUGUACACACCGCCCGUCACACCAUGGGAGUGGGUUGCUCCAGGAGUAGCUAG